CAGGAAGGAGCACAGCUUUGGGAACUGAGGGAGCCUGAGCAGGGAAGCCACGCACCCUGUCACACUUCAAUGGCACAUCUCAGGCACAUAUGGUUUGUGACUCUCCGGCCUUCUCCAUACAUGUCUGCUCUUACGUACAGAGGCCCUGUCUGUCUCUAGGAGAAAACAUCAUGCUAUUUUUUACAAAAGGGCAGAAGAAACCUUCUCAAGUGACGCUAGUUACCGUCAUUCCGUGGAUCUGGAAACAGCUUCCUCCACUUUACCAAUGGUUUUCUGUACCUAGAAUUAGCUCCUGCCUCCUUUUGGCUUGGUGAGAACCUGGCCCCAGAAUCUUAAUCACAUCAUCGCCAGGAUUCCCAAACUGCAUGCCGAGGUGCACU
rnacentral:lncRNA from 1 species